CAUUGUUUUGGACCAAGGAUU
rnacentral:miRNA from 1 species